rnacentral:rRNA from 1 species
GACGAACGCUGGCGGCGUGCUUAACACAUGCAAGUCGAACGAUGAAACCGGAGCUUGCUCCGGUGGAUUAGUGGCGAACGGGUGAGCAACACGUGAGCAAUCUGCCCUUGACUCUGGGAUAACUGCGGGAAACUGUAGCUAAUACCGGAUACGACACCUUGGGGCAUCCCGGGGUGUGGAAAGAAUUUCGGUCAAGGAUGAGCUCGCGGCCUAUCAGCUUGUUGGUGAGGUAAAGGCUCACCAAGGCGACGACGGGUAGCCGGCCUGAGAGGGUGACCGGCCACACUGGAACUGAGACACGGUCCAGACUCCUACGGGAGGCAGCAGUGGGGAAUAUUGCACAAUGGGCGAAAGCCUGAUGCAGCAACGCCGCGUGAGGGAUGACGGCCUUCGGGUUGUAAACCUCUUUUAGCAGGGAAGAAGCGAAAGUGACGGUACCUGCAGAAAAAGCACCGGCUAACUACGUGCCAGCCGCCGCCGUAA